UACAGAGGGGGCAAGCGUUGUUCGGAAUUACUGGGCGUAAGGGCGCGUAGGCGGCCCGCUAAGUCGAACGUGAAAUCCCUGGCUCAACCCAGGAACUGCGUCCGAUACUGGCGGGCUUGAAUCCGGGAGAGGGAUGUGGAAUUCCAGGUGUAGCGGUGAAAUGCGUAGAUAUCUGGAGGAACACCGGUGGCGAAGGCGGCAUCCUGGACCGGUAUUGACGCUGAUGCGCGAAAGCCAGGGGAGCAAACGGG
rnacentral:rRNA from 1 species